UUCCGGUUGAUCCUGCCGGAGGUCACUGCUAUUGGGAUUCGACUAAGCCAUGCGAGUCGAGAGGGUUCGGCCCUCGGCUGACUGCUCAGUAACACGUGGAUAAUUUGCCCUAAGGUGGAGGAUAACCUCGGGAAACUGAGAAUAAUACUCCAUAGGUCUAAGAUACUGGAAUGUUCUUAGGCUGAAAACUCCGGUGCCUUAGGAUAAGUCUGCGGACUAUCAGGUUGUAGUCAGGGUAAAGACCUGACUAGCCUAUGACGGAUAUGGGUUGUGGGAGCAAUAACCCAGAGAUGAUAUCUGAGACACGAUAUCGGGCCCUACGGGGCGCAGCAGGCGCGAAACCUUCACAAUGUGCGAAAGCGCGAUGAGGGGAUCCCAAGUGCUUGCUCGUAAGAGUAAGCUGUUUUUAUGUCUAAAACGCAUAGAGAGUAAGGGCUGGGUAAGACGGGUGCCAGCCGCCGCGGUAAUACCUGCAGCUCAAGUGGUGACCGCUAUUAUUGGGCCUAAAACAUUCGUAGCCGGUUUGGUAAAUGCCUGGGUAAAUCGUGUAGCUUAACUAUACGAAUUCCGGGUAGACUGCCAAACUUGAGACCGGGAGAAGCUAGAGGUACUCCUUGGGUAGAGGUGAAAUUCUGUAAUCCUAGGGGGACCACCAGUGGCGAAGGCGUCUAGCUAGAACGGGUUUGACGGUGAGGAAUGAAGCCCUGGGGCGCAAACCGGAUUAGAUACCCGGGUAGUCCAGGGUGUAAACGCUGCUUGCUUGAUGUUAGUUGGGCUCCGAGCCCAAUUAGUGUCGGAGAGAAGUUGUUAAGCAAGCUGCCUGGGAAGUACGAUCGCAAGAUUGAAACUUAAAGGAAUUGGCGGGGGAGCACAGCAACGGGUGGAGCGUGCGGUUUAAUUGGAAUCAACGCCGGU
rnacentral:rRNA from 1 species